GACGUAGGAGGCGAGCGUUAUCCGGAUUCACUGGGCGUAAAGCGCAUGUAGGCGGUUGGAUAAGUCCGUUGUUAAAGCCCCCGGCUCAACUGGGGAGGGUCACGCGAUACUGCUCGACUUGAAGGCAGGAGAGGGAAGUGGAAUUCCCGGUGUAGUGGUGAAAUGCGUAGAUAUCGGGAGGAACACCGGUGGCGAAGGCGGCUAUCUGGACAGAGUCUGACGCUGAGGCGCGAAAGCUAGGGGAGCAAACAGG
rnacentral:rRNA from 1 species